rnacentral:rRNA from 1 species
GGGUAAGGAUUUGCUUAUUGCACCACAUGUGUUUUUUAUUGAACAAAUUUCUUUGGUGGCGGGAGCAAUCCUACCGCCAGAGGUUAUAACUAAACCAAACUUUUUAUUUACAGUCAAACUUGAUUUAUUAUUACAAUAGUCAAAACUUUCAACAACGGAUCUCUUGGUUCUCGCAUCGAUGAAGAACGCAGCGAAAUGCGAUACGUAAUAUGAAUUGCAGAUAUUCGUGAAUCAUCGAAUCUUUGAACGCACAUUGCGCCCUUUGGUAUUCCAAAGGGCAUGCCUGUUUGAGCGUCAUUUCUCCCUCAAACCCCCGGGUUUGGUGUUGAGCAAUACGCUAGGUUUGUUUGAAAGAAUUUACGUGGAAACUUAUUUUAAGCGACUUAAGUUUAUCCAAAACGCUUAUUUUGCUAGUGGCCACCACAAUUUAUUUCAUAACUUUGACCUCAAAUCAGGUAGGACUACCCGCUGAACUUAAGCAUAUCAAUAGCCGGGAGGAAA